ACUGUGGGAUGGGAACACUAAGAGGAGCCGGGAUGGGGCACAGUGACCAGGAUGUACGGUGAAUAAAUAAAUUAAUUAAUAGGAACAGCAAAGAAUAUUUUUUAAGAUUUGUUAAUAUACUACAACCUCUAUAGUUCAGCCUUUUACUGGAACUUGGCACUGAUCUCAAAGAUUCAACACAGGACCUGGUCCUUGCUCUACACACCUCUCUCUUACCUGUACUUCUUUCUCUCUCACAUCUUUUCUUCUCCUUUUUGCCUUCUUGACCUCUUAGCACUCAACCCCCAUUCUUGUUUUAGCUGUUUAGCCAUGAUGUCGUGAGUCAUCGACAGGUUUCGUCCUGCCGUGUGGGAAAUCAUGUAAGGAAGAGGCUGAGUGUGGACAGAAACAUAUCAAGGCUACUUGAGGACACGUGUUCCAGAAUUUCUCUCAAAAUAGGGCAUUUGAAGGCCAUUUUGUAAUAUUUAAAAUUCCAUCUAUUUUAGUGGGUGCUGAGUGACAUGUAACUAAAGCUGCCCAGAUGUUGGAGAAAAUAUGAAAGAAAUGCAAGGCCAAGUUCUCCCCAUCAAAUGUUUCCAUUCUACUGUAGCGAAAGCAGCAAAGGAAAGCAUAUCAAACAAUUAUGGACGCAGUGAGAAUUCAGAGAAGACUAGAAAGGAAGUGUGGGUUCAAUGGGGAAUUGAACAAUAAGUUAUUUGUAAGUUGCUGGAAAAGAACAGAAAGCAAACAGCCGAGAGGCUGAGGGAUCAAAUGCAAGUAUGUGAACAGAGAGAGUAGGGGCUCAGAAAUAACCGUGAAUACAUGCACUGCGUGUCUUCGUGUAUACCGUACAUACAUUAUUCCACUUUACAGGCAUUAAUAUCAUUUGAAAAACAAUUAAUGGAGAUUUAAAAUACCCAUGCACUGGAGUGUGUAUGUAUGUGUGUAUGUGUGUAUGUGUGUAUGUGUGUAUGUGUGUAUGUGUGUGUAUGUGUGUAUGUGUGUAUGUGUGUGUGUGUGUGUGUGUGUGUGUGUGUGUAUACACACACGUAGAAGACUUAGAAUUUGACAUCAUAUCUAUGAGGCACAAAACUAUGUUUUGAAUUAUCACCCUGGAUCAUAUUUCAUUACACUCACAUUGUAAAAGAUCGAAUGGGAAUGACAGAUUUGAAAUAUAGACACCAAGCAAGUAAAGUGUGCACACAUAUCCUGUGUGUAUGUGUGUGUGUGUGUAUGAGUGUAUGAUAUACACACAUUCAUAUGUGAAGAAAGAGAGAGGAAGCAACAUGAUAAGAGCAGUUUUUAGAGCAAUUCAUUUAAUCUUGAUAUAGUAUAGUCCAUAUAUGGCAAAGAAUUCUUUGGACCAAUUAAGAGACUGUGGAUACUGUCUAAUCACGAUAUACUGCAGUUUGGGACUACGAUGGUAGGCACACAGAGAGCAGUGGCUGAAAUAUAAACAUUAGUUUAAAGAAGAAAAAUUAAGAAAAAAAUCAAAUACAAUCUCAGAGAUGUUGGGAUAAAAAGUAUGUGCUACAGAUAAGCAAACAUUAGAGAGAGCAGGUAGCUGCCAUUAGAGGAGGGUAUUCUGUGGUAUAUCCAGCUCGAAGCAAUGGCAGGACAUCUAAGGCCAGCUUGUCCUAAGCACUCUGAAUGAGACAGCAUAGGAGAAUAAACAGUUGGGAACAAAGCAAUGUACUAUCAGGGUGCUACUCACAGGCAUAAAGAGAGACAGCCACGGGCACAAAGAUCCCGGGCCUUAAAAAGCAAAGUCCAUUUCUUCCCAUGUCUGCUGAGUUACAUAUGUUUGAACCAUGUUACUUCUCUGACAUUUUAAAUAAUAGGAACGGUAAUGACUAGAAUAUUCUAAUUUCACAUUAUGCAUUGAUAAUAUAGUAUGCUUGUAUACCAUGUUGUCUUAAGGUUAACAUGAGAUUAAACUCAAUAUCCCUUAAAGAUUACAUUCUGGAAGUCAGCCUUUCUAAUCAAGCUAAACUCACAGCUCUCUAACAAACAUGAACUUUGUUGACGUUGCCUUGGGUAAAACUGAGUCAUCAGGAGAAAAAAAAAACUUCAAAAUCGGAAGUUCAACCACACAGAAUUUAAAUUUUCACUCACAAUAAAGCAAAUCAAACCUUUGAGGCUACCGGGCUCGCUCUGGUGUCUCCUCGUGGUUUCCGUCUUAGAGACAAAUAGAGAGGAAGAGACAGAUGGGGGAAACUCAGUUUUCUUUUUAUGAAACUAACCCAGAAUGUAUAUAGGACACCUCUCCUCUCAACUCAUUGGUUGGGCCUUGAGGAUCACACAAGGGUUAUCAGGACAAACAGCUCCUCAUUGGUACUGCUGUGAUCAGUUCAGAUGGCAAGAAUCUGAGAGGCUGAAGAUCUAUUACAGAGAGUGGCUGCAGAGAACAUCUAGAUUCACAUCCUCCUUCUCACCAUGUGGCACUCCUCAUUCAGAAAGAUUUUCCUAGGGGUCAUAGCAGAAAGGACUCUAAGAGGAGGGUUACUGGGAGAGGGGACAGUGCUCAGGAUGUAAAAUGGAUGCAUCUAAAUUAAUGGGGAAAAAAGAUUUUCCUCUCUGGGUGUCAAGCUGCUUUUUAAGUGACAGAUUUCUCCUGUACACCCGUCGGCAUCCAUCACGCACUGCCAUUUAAAGUAGAGUGAAAGUGUACCUGAGUAUCACUGUGGCACGCCACACCUUACUUUACGCAGACCGAUUGAUUCUGAGGAACAUGUUUUUGAAACUGCUCUUCAUAGCAUUAUCAAAAGAGAAAAUGUAAUCAUCUCUAAGCUCUCACGUGCACGUAACCAUCCGGCCACAUGUUCAUAAUGAAAAAAAAAAAAAAAAACUCUCACAUCUUGAUUUACCCAAUUUCUUUUGUUAUAAAAAAAAAAUCUUAAUCUCCAUCUGGGGUUUCUACCCUGGCUUUGACCUUGUAGUUCCCAGAUAAAAGACACACAUGACCUUUAUAUUUAUAAUGAGCCUUUAUCAGCAUCAAUGCUGAGCUGCUAUCUACCCUCUAUGAUAUUAAAAUCUAAUUCCUACCAAUAACCUCAAGUUAGUGUUUACAAUGCUUCAUCUGGGCUGCUCUUAACUCCAAUUGGCCGGCCCUGAGGGCCAUGCUCUCUUGACUCCUCAUCCAUGGUGCCUUUACUCCUCUUUCCACCUUCUUCUCUGCCUUAUGAUUUCCUGAAAUCCAAGAUCAGGAACACCAAGCUCCACUUAACUCAAUUCUUCGAAGCCAUAGACUGUAGGCAUCUUGAUUCACCAAGCAGAAAUAACUUGGGUGGCAAGGUCACAUGUCACUUGGGUCUCUGUGUGGACUCCCUUGGGCAACCAGACCUUGGGGAUCCACACUUAGCAUUACAUUAUAUAGCAACAGACUAAACCUCGACAAUCCUCAGUUAAGUGAAGCCCAGUCAGUGAGCAUGGAGCCACCCCAUCUCCACACCUCUCCCCUCCCCCUCCUGUCAGAGCACCCCACCUCAAGGGAAUUCAUAACCACAGGGAUGCACAAGGUGACAUGGAGCAUAUUUCUGGAAUUUGUUUCUCAGAAAUCUGAUCUUGACAGGUAGAAUAAUGUUCUGCUCAUUAGCUAAUAAGCUAUCUAGAUUCGAAUUUCAUGUAGAAGCAAAAAUGAGCUCAAGUCAUGACAGAUUCUCCUUGGAUGGUUUCUCUUACAAGAACAGGGUGGGAGUUGGGGAUCAGUUAAAAAAAACAGUCAAUAAAAAAUCAAAUACAAGGGGUUGGGGAUUUAGCUCAGUGGUAGAGCGCUUGCCUAGCAACCGCAAGGCCCUGGGUUCGGUCCCCAGCUCUGAAAAAAAAAAGAAAAAAAAAGGAAAAAAAAUCAAAUACAAAUUAACAAACAAGAUUAGGGAGAUUUUAUUCCAAUGACUGAUUCUGUGGUUUUUAAUUACUGAAAGAAAAGAAGUGUCCAACACCAUGUGGUGCAGUGUGGUUAUUACAAACUGUGUGGGCUGAGACCGGGCCUCCAAGUUAGUCUGGGACUUUCUGGUUGUGUCAUCUCACUUCCGUGUUGCCUUUAAUGUUAUUCUAGAUGUAUUACAUAGUGAAAUUAAUCACUUUGACUGCACAUAGUCAAAGUCUAGGUUUCAAGAUGUUGAAUCCACUUCUUAAGAACAGUGUCACAGCUUCUUAUUUUCUUACUCAUUUUCUAAUGAAGGUUUCCAGCGAUGGGGUCUCCUGGAAAGCCCGAGUUUCCAUGUAAACCAUUAUUGAACAUUUUCUCAUUGUGGUAGUAAGCCCUUGUUAGCUACAUAAGGUAGGUUGUACCAGUGCCCAUGUUGAACGACCUCAUUGUGCGCAUUAACAAAAUAUAAGAGUUUUGUCCAGUGAGACUUCCUCAUAGACCAAAAGCGUUCUCCCACAGGCUAAUAAUUGCAUGAUAGGGCUUGUUUCCAGAGAGAUGUGGUAGCAUACCAUGCAAUUCCAGCAUUCUAAUGGCUGAGCCCAGAAGACUACAAAGUCAACAGUAGCCUGAGCUACAUAGCAAGACUCUGACUUGCAGAAAACAACAUGAAGGGAAAAAAAUAGUUCUCAGGUAGUAAACUAAACUACCAACAUUAUUUUAGUAGAGCUGUAAAAUGUCUCUGUACUUCUUAAGAUAUCUGUCAAAAAACUUCAUCACCUACUGCUAUUUUUUUUUAUCAUCUAGUGGUUUGCCAUUGAGAAUUAGAGAAAACUAUCAUAAAGAUAAUUAAAUGAGUAGUGCCUUAUGUGGUUUAUCAACAACUCAUAUUCUAGAUGUCUGAUCAAGCCAGCAAUUAAACCAUUUAAGCACUGCCAAGAUAAAAUCAGAUUGAAAUCAAAUUAUGACACCUUGUCAAAUAUUUUCCCAGAUAAAAACCAGAAAGAAGUCAAUAUCCCUUUUCUUAGAAACCAGAGUCUUCAGGUUAUAGAAUAAAUACCAUUUAAAGAGUCCUAGCUCAAAGAGCUGAUGCUUGUUUUCAUGUAACCUAUGACACCAUAGUGGUCUUAGACUUUUCAUGUAUCCUGUGACAUCAAAAUGGGUCAUUGCUUCCUUUCUCUCUUGACGUGUAUUGUGUGUGCUUUCAUCCACAUGCUACACAUUUAGAAGUAUAUCCUAAAUCAUAGUCUGCUAGUGCCGUAACAUUCUCCAACCUUGCAGGAUAGGAGAAAUGUCUUUCCUAUUUAAUCUCAACUUCCCAGUAUCUGGCACAAAUAUGUUCAAUUUUUUUUAAUGAAUUAGUAGAUUAAUAAGAAAAUUCUAAGAAUUUUACUCAACACUCUAUAGAAAUUGCUUUUGACAAGGACAUCCAUUGGUAAGUCGAGCUGUCAAUUUUCAAUCAUUUUAUUUCUUCUGUCUAGUGUUGAUGUUGAUCUUCCAACUACAUUGGUAGCUACAUUUUUCUGGUUUCUCUUCACCAUAACCUCAAGGUUCAAAGACUACUCAUUUCUGUAGCUUUAAAUGACACUUCAUUAGUCACUAAUUCUAAUAAUUUUUGCUAGUUUCUCUUCACCACAACUUCACAAUUCAAUGAGUGCUCAUCUCUGUAGCUUUAAAUGACAUUUAUAAUUGCAGCAUACCCUAAAUGUCAGAAUACUCUAUGAUUGGCAUCAUUCCUGACUUAGACACUUAGUGCCAAUCUCAAGUCAGCAGGUACAGAGCUGAAUUCCUGCCUCCCAUUCUCCCAUGCACACCGUCUAACCUAAACAUCCUCUGUUUACAUUUGUCCCUGGAUCAAUUAAUGGUUUUUCCAUCCUCCAGAUGCUGAGUUGGUUACCUACAAUUCUGUUUCAAGCAAAUUGCCCCCAGAGGCAAAAACAAAAAAAAAAACAAAAAAACUGGCUUUUCCUUCCUUGAACUUCUGCUCUUCCACAAUACAGAUUCUGUCUAAGAACAGCAGGCAAGGAAAUAGUGGUUCACAAGUUUCCCAUCUCUAUGCACCGAAGACACUUUAGAUGACUGAGUAGAAAUAGAUACCCACAGGCAUUAUAUGCCACUGCCUCCUAAUUAGACUCCCUGUUUCUGCCCAUAUAACUGAGAUGGAUUCUGUAACUAUAAUAAAAUAUCCCCCAUGGACAACUUAAAGAAGCAAAGAUUCAUUUUGGAUCACAGUCCACCAUGACAUGGGGAUAGAAGUCGGGGAGUAUGACAGAGAUCAGCUCACACCAUGGUGGCAGGAAAGCAGAGACACAUGGGCUGUGCUAGUGAGAUUUUAAUUUGUCUCCUAUAUAUUCAUUCCAGGUCCCCAGCCUCUAGGGCGUUGCUAUCCUUACUUAGCCAUGUCUCCCUGCUAAGUUAGAACUUUUCUGAAAGAUCAUCACAGAUGCCCAGUGGUGUGGUUCAUUAAUUCCCUAGGUCCUCCUCAAGUUGACAGCUACAACUGGCCACCCUAAGUCCUCCUCUGUCAUCUCAAUAACCAAAAUAUCUCCUUCAAUCUAGCGUUAUUUUGUUUUUAGUGUGCAUUCAGUAGUGUGUUGAGAUCAAUUUCUAAAUGUAAAACAGAUCAGGUCACUUCUAUGUCAAAAUAAAAGUAAACAAUUAUUAUGUUUGCUGAUUUAAAGACAAAGUAUUCACUUUGAUUAAAGUAAGCAUAACAUUUAUUUUAUAUUUGUAUACCUUCAUUUUCCAAAUCAUUUUAUGCAUACUGGUAUAUUUAAUCUUUGUUAAUACCUCUUGAUCUUGAAUAUGAUAUUCUUCCAGUAUUUUUAAUAAGCAUUAUAGUUUUACCUUGUCACUCACACACACACACACACACACACACACACAUGCACACACAAACGGAAGGUUUUGCUUCUUGUAGUUUCAGUUACUCAGAGUCAAAUACUACCCAUCGGAAGAUUCCAAGCUACAAAAUUCAUAUGUCCUGAAUUACAUACUAUUCUGGGAAGUGUGGUAAAAUUGUGUGCCACGAUCCUCUGCCAAGUCUCCUGAGUUUUUCCAGUGAAUCCUUUCUGAGCUAGUCACCUGUUGCUCAGUUCACACAUAGUUAUUAGCACAACUGUAGGACUCCUGAAGUGUAAGUUUUCAAGUAAGCCUUGUUUCACUUAAUAAUGGCUCCAAAAUAAAAGACCAGUGAUGCUCAAAAAAAGUCAUAAAGCUCUCCUCUUUUUUUCUUCUUUUUAUAUUUCUGUUAUUUUUAAGAAUGCAUAUGUUUGGUGGGGGAGGAGGAGCAGGGCCUAUGUGAACGUGAAUGCACACAGAAGAAGGCAUUGGAUUCCCUGGACCUGGUAUAACAGAAGGUCUGAGCCACCUCACGUGUGUGGUAGGUACUGAACUUGGGUUGUCUGUGAGGGCAGUGAAUGCUCUUAGCUACUGAGCCACCUCUCCAGCCUCAUGAAGUUAAAAGUUCUUAAAAAGAAAGGAGAGGCCUAGGGGUUGGGGAUUUGGCUCAGUGGCAGAGCGCUUGCCUAGGAAGCGCAAGGCCCUGGGUUUGGUCCCCAGCUCCGAAAAAAAGAACCAAAAAAAAAAAAAAAGAAAAAGAAAGAAAGAAAGAAAGGAGAGGCCUUUCCGGUUUCUGCCUGUGCCUGGAGCUAACCAGGUCCCACACGACUCUAGCAUGUCUGUCCCCUUCUAUGAUGAAUUUCUUUACAGAUCACUAUGUAUUUGAUUGAGCUCUCAAGUUCAUGAAGCAGUAAGAAUCCUGGGUCUUACAUUUUCUCUGAGGUUUUAUGUAAAUAUCUGUGGUUUAAUAUUUUAAAUGUUAAAGUCCCUAGACUCAAAUGAGAUCACCUUGGUCACUUGGAAAGCCUGGCUUCUGAAGAGACAUUCUCUUUAGCACAGACAUACAUACAUGCCUUUAAAGGUUGGUCACUUGGUUGACCUCAUAGAGGUCAACCUCAACCACAUAGAGGUUGGUUACCUCUAUGUGUAAGCAUGUGCCCUGCACUCAUCAGAGGACAGUUAACAUCAGCAUGUCAUGGUUUCUUAAUGCCACGGGGAGGGAGUUCUGAGAAAGCUGAAGUGAGGAGUUAAUGAAAAUAAACAACAGGUGAAUAAUAAAAGAACACUUUGAGUGUCAAAGAGGAAAUACUCUGAAAAUACUUAGAACAAAUGAUGAAUCCCGAUACGCUAGGGGCAAUCUGUUGGCAUAAAACAAAUUUUAACUAUAAGAAAAAAUGGAGAAGAUGAAUCCUGCUUUGCAUGAAUCAUAGGGAAGGGUGUUUUAUCGAUGAAUGAGGGGAUGUCUUUGCUUGGCAGUUUAAAGUAGAAGAAAUAUUCCAAGUCAUUCAGUUGCUUGUUUGUUAAUGUGAUCAGAUAUAAUUUAGCCAUUACUACAUGAUUCAGGACAUGGUACUUAGAUAUUUAGUGUCUUUUGCAGACAAUAAGAGUAAUUCUUUUAACACUGCCUCUAGGAGCUCCUGUGCCAUUUAAAGAGCGAGAUGUGUAGGUAGGGAAUCCUUAGUAAGCUGUAGAAAAUCACUAGUGAAUGUAAGAACAAAAUGCUCGUGCCCGGAAGAGUAUGAAUAAGCACCUCCAUCCCCCAGACCAAUGUAAGGAUUGUGGGGGAUGUGAAGUUUAUGGCCAUAGCACCCUAAAUUGGCCUGAUACCUUCUAAGCUCUAAAGCAGGGUAUAACCAGGGGUGGGGAUUAACUAGUGCUUCUUGGGAGAGAGACAUGAAGAGGAAGGAGAUCUAGACAAGGAGGAAGGGUAGGGGGACGGCUACAAGCUCAAAAGAAGCAAGGUAAGUUUGGGGUAACUCAAGAUGAUUUGAGACAAAGUAAAUAUGAGGAAAGAAAAUGAAGAGGGAGAAAAGGGAGGAGCAAGGGCUUGGAAAUGGAUAGAGCACAUUUUAACAGAGUUUCAAAUGCUGCCCUCUGGUAACUGCAUCUAACAAUCGGGCGGCAUUUUAGAGAUUCCCCUCCAGCAUCAGUGUGGGAGUGAAUUAAACUGAGGCGAUUUGAAGUUUGUGUUUGUUUUGUUCUUUAAUGGGCUAGAUCAUCUCCAUGCUGGAGAGAUAUGAUAAACACCUAAAUAACGAAUUACCAGUGGGAAUAGAAGCCAGAUAUGUUUGGGGUUUGAGGUACCAGAAUCACAGGAAGCUGUUGUGGGGUUCCACUUGGCUCAAGAUGUAAAGUAUGUGGGAUGUGGAGAGGGGGAAGAUACUGGGCUAUUUGUUUAUUCGUCGUUAAUUUUUUUUUCACUGCCAAAUUUAGAUGCUUGUGAACUCACUGGAGAAAGGCCCAUUGGAUGAGGGGUGAGGAUACAGAUUGAUCAAAAGACAAGGCGCUAAAGAUACUGAUCUGGGAAACCCUCCACCGGGAAGCAGGAACUGGAGAUGAGAGAGAUUAAGAUGACUCCAGAAAAGUAGUCAGUGAGAAAGAAAAUAGCCUGAGAACAGAACUCAGAAAAGCCAACAUCCAAGGGAGGAUAAGGAAAGCCCACCCACAGAGGAUAAAUUGGGAAAGAGAGAGAGAGAGAGAGAGAGAGAGAGAGAGAGAGAGAGAGAGAGAGAGAUGAGGCCUGAACAGUGUGAUCAAGCUACAAGGCAUUUCUUAGUGACUUCAGUUAAAGGAAUGUCUGGGAAUAUGUGGGCAGCAGCCUGUUUGGGUUCUAGAAAAAUGAAUAGGACAAAAUUUAGGAUGGACAUAGAAGCUGGACAGUGAAGUUAGAUCAUGAUAGGGGGAAAUAGACGUUUAUUGAGUUCUCUAGUAAAGUACUUGUCUGACAUGUGGAAAACCCUUCAAUAUGCAGUAAUAUAUAUGUGUAUGUGUAUGUAUAUGCGUAUAAUGUAUACGUACAUGUUUGGAGUUUGAGGUAAUGGCCAAUUUGAGGUGCCAGAAUCACAGAAAGCUGUCACAGAGGUCCACUUGGCUCAAGAAGUAAAAGUAUGUGGAAUGUGGAAGAAGAGAAGAUACUGGGUUGUUUUUUUCAAUGGUUUGCUUUGUGCAAUGCCAAGUUUAGACACUUGUGAACCCAUUGAAAAAGGGUAUGUGUGUGAGUGUGUGUGUGUAUAUAUCCAUAUAUAUAUAUAUAUAUAUGUAUAUAUACAUAUCUAUCAUCGGUGCCUGCUUUUGAGUCUUAGUUUCAAGAUGACAUAAAAAGGGGGGAGAAAGAAUGUAAAAAGGAGAGAGAGAGAGAGAAGAAAGAAGAAGAAGGAGGAGGAGGAGGAGGAGAAGGAGGAGGGAGAGAGAAAGAAAGAUUGGUGGGGGGAACAGUGGUCAGACCAUGGCCAGCCUAUUGUUGCACCAAUUAUUCCCACCUAAGGAGAAGACCAUUAGGUGUUGAUUACUCAGAACACUGUGGUAAGUGUUCCAAAGUAAGUGUCUUAGAUGCUCAUGUGAUUCCCAUGCUCUGUGUCAAGUUGCAUUGUGUCAGGAAUGGUUUAUAGGAAGCCAUUUAUAGGAACGUUGUCAGGAAUUGAAUUCCUGAAGCCCAGAAGAACUGAGUACCCACACAUUGAUUUGGGCUGCUGGUGCUUCCCCUCAACCUCCACCAGAGUUCAGGUAAAGGUCUUGCUUCAUAAGGAUGGAGGAAAAAAAAUAUCUGGGACAAAUAAAUUAUACUUUAAAAAAUAAAUGUAUUUCUUUUAUUGAGUUCAGUGGCACAUGCUUGUACACCCAGAGUUUGGAAAGCUGGGGCAAGAGGCUCCCAAGUUUGAGUCUAGGCUAGACACAUAGAGAAACCCUGUCCUACCCACUCACCUAUAAUCUUCAAUAAAAAAAAAAGAAAGAAUGUGUGUGUGUGUGUGUGUGUGUGUGUGUGUGUGUGUGCAGUACAUUGCCUUCUACAUAGAAAAAGAUAUUGAACUCUAAGAUUGAAAAGUAUAAGGGAGUGGAAGUAAAGAAAAAACUAAGUCACAAGUAGACAGACUAGAGGAUUUUAAGAAGCUAUAGAGAAAAGAUUUGCCUUAAGAGGGCGAAAAUAUCUUCUCUUGAGAGUAGGGUCAAAAGUAUUGGGUGAGCAGAAAUACAAACACAUUGUUGGGUAAAAAAAGGGGAACUAAGGGCCAUCUGUGGGUCACUGAUUUCUCUGUGCAAUAGUCUGAUGCAUCUUAAAGAGAGAAUCAUCUUGAAGGUCCCUCUAUUUCACACCCUGGUUAAAAAAUAAAAAAGAAGGGUGUGACUAGAAGGUGAUAAUUGAAAUGUACUUCCCCAAGAAGACCUCGUACCCCCCCAAGUCAAUCCCAAACACCCCCUUUGUUGUGAGCUAACUGAGAUUUCACUGGAAUACCAGAAGGUCAGAACCCUGGAGGACCAGAAGGCCUGGCAAAGGGAAAGUGGCUACUGCCUUACAGAGAACUCAGGCCCUGACAGAUGUCAUUCAGGUCUCCAAAGACGACUCCCAAGUUAAUAAAUUGUGAAAAUAAAAAAGAUUUUAAAGUAAUGUACUUAAUUCAUUACUCGACUUACAGUUCAGUAUUGAGUGUGACAUUUUAUUUUAGAGGACAAGACUCGCACAAAGAGGCAUAAAAUACCAUUCCAGUAGACCUGGACGGUGGACUAUGGAACUAAUGGGUUAGUUAUGUUCAGUUUGGGACUUACUGGCCAUCUCCCAUCUUCCUUCUUUCCGAUCUUUCUGCCUUUGAGAAGGCUGAGUUCUUGCCUCAUGCCCAUCUCAUGAUUGGAUUAUGGGAGCAUGAAAGUUGUCUGGCUUCAUGUUCAAGGUUAGAAAGACAUCCUGCCUCAGGAAAAUGGCACAUCCCUCACUGUCAGGGUUAUGCAUAGAAAGCACACUUCCCACUGCUCCUCCAGACUUUUAGGGGCCUUCGCUUAGGCCAAAAUUGCUGAUGGGUGUUCAUGUUUUUCAAAAGAAAAAAAGCAUGAAGCCUUCCCAUAAGGAAGUUCGUGUAGGUCAGGUGUAGCGUCAGUCAGUGGGAGACAAUGAGUUUGUCUAUAGGAAGUGACAAGAACCGAGAAAACAAAUUUUCAAAAGGUCUUCAAUUCUCAUCUUGCUUUGUUCCUCUGGUGGUAGCACUGCCUCUAGAAGCACAAGUGUCCUGCGUCUCAUCAUAGAGUUGCUUGUCACUGGUGUCCUCAUUGAAUUCUACACAUGUGUGGCUUGUCUUCAGAGGCACAGUGUGGUGUGAUGUAACACACGCUUGACUGUGGACUCAGAGGCAGUGUGGUGUGAUGUAACACACGCUUGACUGUGGACUCAGACUGCCCAGAUAUAGCUCAUUAGCCAGCUCUGUGGCCAUGAAGAAGACCCACAUAGGCCUGAUCCAGCUAAUAAGCCUGUUUCCUGCCAGCAUACACACUACAACAGAAAACUGCAAAUGAUUCUCCAUGAUUGGAUUUCAUAAUCCCUUAUUCCCACAGAGCAGUUAGUUUUAUCUGCUCCUCCUACAAUGCCUUCUGUUAUUUGCUUAUAAUCCUCUUUUGUCCCCAGGCAAGAUCUUUUAAGGCCUUCUUUGUGCCCAUUUUUACCACUUAAAACCUCUCAUUCUGGUCUUUUCUAAGUCUGUCUCAUCAAAAUUAUUCGCGAGGUAAGAAAUCAGAAUUCCUAGUUGAUAUUUUGGCUACAGUUUUGAAGGAAUAAAGUACUAAUAUGUAACAAAUAGUUUAAAAAGAAAUGUAUUGUUGCCUGAAAACAUAGCCAGUCAGUAGAGUGGCUGCCUAGCAUGCUUGAGGCUUAUUUUGUGUUUAGCACCCUAGAGGUCACCAUUCAAGCCUUCAGACUGAGGCCAAGCUGAACCUUCACAUGUUGGAGUAGCACAAUUGCCUGCUGUGCAGUCAGUCAGAAAGCUCACAUUUGGUCAAAUUCUCUGCCAUUUGCCCUAGGAUAAAGCUGGGCUCACAGAUACAGCAGAAUCCUGUGUGCUGGAAAACCAUUCUCUCCAUAGGGAACAUGAUCGUAGAUGGUUUUCGCAUUUACCAUGGCGCCUUGUUAUUAAGCUGCUAUGUGGAUGUGGACCUUUCCAUUUGCAUUUUAGAUGGCUUGGAAAUUGCCAGACUUCCCAACAGAAAGGCUCCUCCUAUGUGGAGGUCUGUUGCUGAGCUUGCAUGACUGCUGGCUACCAUGGAGAUUCAUGCCCUGGGCAACUCACUGGCCUUUCCACAGAAUUUUACAGAAGUCUUGCAAGCUCACCUCGAUUAUUUUGAAAGCCUAGAAACUAAGACCUCAAUUCUCAACACUCUUAGGCUAUAUAGCAAUGAAAUUGGUCAAACAACCACAGCAUACACACAUACAAAUAGAUAUACAGAAAGUGUUUUAGGCAAUGUUCUCAGCCUUACUCAUUGUUUAACUCAUCAUUUAUUUUUUACUUAUUCACUUUUUAUCCUGCUCACUGUCUCCCUCCCAGUCACCCCCUUCUCUUCUCUGAUCAGGUGAGGGCCUCCAAGGACCUUCCAUCCAAGUCUGCAAAACUAGGCACAUUCUUUGCCACCGAGGCCAAACAAGGCACCCCAGCUAGAAGAACAGAGCUCAUGUACAGUUCAACAAGAAAUGCCGAAACAGGGAUAGUGCAGAGACUGAGAAUGACCAACCGAUAAGAGGCCCAACUUGAGACCCAUCCUAUGGAAAUGGUCCAGCAACUGUCUCUCUGUCAGCCAAAAAUAAACUAUAAAAUUAAAUGGACAUUAACUAUGGGUUCCCCACCUCUACUCUUUCAGCUUUUCUUCAUGUGAGUGUCUUCUCUGCAUGUGUGCCUGUGUAUUUUGUCCAUGCAUGGUGCCUGCAGAGGCAAAGAGAAUGUGGAUCUGCCAGACCUGGAGUUACAGAAGAUUGUUAACCUCCAUGUGUGAUCUGAGAAUCAAACCAGGGUCCUCUGGAAGAGCAGCCAGUGCUUUUAACUACAGAGCCAUCUCUCCAGCCCAGGAAACCAAAUUUUUAUGUAUGUGCCAGGGGCACAUGGAUAUUCAGCACUCAGGUGUACGCUAAAGAAGUCACUUCAUUUCAUAGCUGACUUGUAUAUUUACAAAUCAAAUAUGGGUGUGCUAGUGUGAUACAUGGGUUGGUCAGUUUCAUGUCUCAUCUGUGGCUUUGACAAGGUUUUUGACAGGCACACAAAAAAUAACUAAGCAAAGCCACUUAAAGGAAUUUAGGCUAAAGCAUUUAGGGGCGUCAGUCCAUAGUCAGCUGGUUCCACUUCAUUGGGUCUGUCAGAUCAGACUGUCAUGGCAGCAGGAGUGUGUGGCAGACAAGGCUACUCACCCUGUAGCCAUCAGUGAGCAAAGAAAAGGCAGGUGUACAAAAUAUAUUCUUCAAAGUUUUCCUCCAUGUCCCUACUUUGUCCAACUGUAACACACACCCUAAUAAUCAUUCUGGUAUGAACUCAUCAGUGAAUUAGUUUCAUGAAAUAAGUUAGAGCCCCAUUGUCUGAUAGUCUCAAAACUUCAAAUAACUCUGCUAAAAGAGCCUUCCUUUAGGAUGUAAUCCAAACUGGACUCAAAAGGCAGACUGUGUUCAAAUGCAAACUUUGGCAUAUCACAUCUGUAUGACCUUGGUCCAUUUAUAGCCAUAAAAUAUGGAUGCUAACAUUCACUUCACUGGAUGGCUGAGGUGGUUAGAAGACAAAACAAAACAAACAAUAACAACAACCACAACAAAAACCUGUAAGAAAUGGCCUAAAUCCUGCCCACAGUGCCAUGCUCCACCAGGGGCUUGGUGACCCACCCAUCUAAACCACUCUUUUUUUUUUUUCUUUUCUUUUUUUUUUAUUUUCCGGAGCUGGGGACCGAACCCAGGGCAUUGUGCUUCCUAGGCAAGCGCUCUACCACUGAGCUAAAUCCCCAACCCUAAACCACUCUGUUAUAUAGUGCUCUAUCGUGAAAUUUGUUAACUUUCAUAUGCUUUCUCUCUACUCAUUAGAAUCCUGGCCUCAAAUGACUUUAUUUCCAUGGUUUCCACAGGAACUGUAGCAUAAAUUAAAAGUCCAUUCAGAUUCUCUACCAUGAGCUCCAAGUAUCAGCAGGACCCAUAAGCAGCAGUGGAUCUACAACUGGGACUAUGUCCUUCUUUCUUUGUCUCUGAGCCUCUAUUUCCUUUUCCCAGUAAGCACUGUAGCUGCUGUAACAGUUGCAUAAACCAGUGUCACAGCUAAGAAGCAUAAGAUCCGUUCUUCAUGCAUUCAAAAUUCUGUCACUUGUUUCAUUUCCCCUCCUAAAACCCUCUCACUCUGCCUCUAUCAUAUCACCUCCGAUUUGAAAUGCCUCAUAGAACACUCCCCUGCUUCCAGUAGAGCUGACAGUAUAGGGAAGGAACAUGCAGUUCAAAUUCUAGCGUUGUCGCUCAUUAAUUAUAUGUCCUUGCUAACACUCUGAAAAGAAGAAUGGGUCCCACAGUACCAUCUAUUGUAGAUUGUUCAAGCUUUCUCUGCCCACUCAGCUGGGAGAUCCUCAUGGACAAUGUUGCCACAAUCAUGCUGGAUGUGCAGUACCAUGUGAUGCCUGGCAGAGAACCCAAGAAAUAAAGCUGAAGUGAGUUUGAGUCUGGGUAGACUUCAACCCUUCGAGUAUUCACUCUCAGAAUCACCGCUGUUCCAUUGUUAACUAUACCUCAGAGGACCUGUACAUGGGCACGCACCACAAACUCCUCAUUUGACCAAAAGAAAAAUAUUUAACUAUCUGUCAUCUAUUAAAGGGAGUGUGGUGGCUGGUUUUAUGUCAAUUGGACACAAGCUAGACUCUUCUAAAAGGAGGGAACCAUGACUGAGAAAAUGCCUCCAUACGACCAGGCUGUAGGCAAGCUUGUGGGGCAUUUUCUUAAUUAGUAAUUUAUAUGGGAAGAUUAUUACUAGGACGGUAGUCGUGGGCUCUACAACAAAGCAGGCUAAGCAAACCAUAUGUAGCAAACCAGUAAGGUUUACCCCUUAGCUUGGCCUCUGCAUUACCUCCUGACUCCAGUUUUCAGCCCUACCUGAGUUCCUGUCUUGACUUCCUUCAGUGAUAACUACAAUGUAGGAGUAUAACCCUUCUGUUUUCUCCUCAGUUGCUUUUGGUCAUGGUGUUUCAUCAUAGCAAAAGUAACCCUAACUUAGAAUGGGAGACCAUAAUAUCCUGCCUUUUCAUUCACAUUAAGAUUUUGCAUUUUAAAGUGAAAGUGCAUUCCAUCACUCUUACGUGCGUAUGCAUAAAAUGGAAUAUAUUUUCUCUUUUUAUUACAUUGACUGACCAAAUCCUUGAGAAAAAUCACUAUGAACUGAUGAGAAUCAUAUCCUUUGAAAACAGUUUUUCUUCAAAGACAGAAAAUGGAAGGAGGAAAUAGGAUUUAUUAUACUUUACUUUCAUUUCCCAAAGCAUAUUAUGUAAAUAGUUUCUCACUUACAUGCUUUCUCACACAAAACAACUAUGGCAAUGAUUUUUAAACCCUUGUAAAUUAAUUGCGUUUCAAACUGAGAAAAAAAUAUGAGCUGCUAUCAGGUCUUAACAACACAUAAAAAAUAUGGCACAGUUCUGGUUUGGGUCUCCAGUGUCGUGAAUGUCCAUCUCUGCUAUUAGAAACACCAUGACUGAUAGAGACAUCUUCUCCCAUACUGUCAAGACAUCCCUUUGCUGCAUGAUGACAUGGUGAAAUUCUGAACAGGGUGAAACCCAGCACAAGGUCAACUUGUGGCUACACGUGUUUCCUCUCAUAAGCAAGCAGACAUGGAAAUCAGCGUCAGCCGCCACUCACAAAAUGGACACCCCAGCAGUGAUCACAUUGACCUAGAAAACCAGCCAUGAUGAAGGUCUCUAGGCCAAGAAGAGAAGGGAAGGUGAUAGAAGGGAAGCUAUAAAGCUCUUUGUCCUGUGGGAGCAGGGAGUGGUACUGCUUUCCUGUGGGACACAGGGAUAUUCAAAGACUUUUAUUCAUUAUUAGUAGUUGUUGUAGGAUGUCAUACAUGUGAGGGCGGGUACAAGAUAGAACAAGGAAGAAGGAAGGAUGGGCAGGAGAAAGGUUUGAGGGAAGAGGGAGACUGAAACAGAAAGGAUGGGAGACUGGAGGAGACUGGAGGAGAGACUGUGAGAGACCAUGAAGGCUGACAUUAAGAUUCCUCUCUGCACAUCUACAGGUUGUUAUGAAUGUUCUUAAGGGAUGGAUGUGUACAGGGCUCUGUAUGUUUAGGUGAGCAAUUAUAUCUUAUCAAUUGGAUCAGAGGUUAUUGUGUUGUGUGUUCUUUCUUUUGCAGAGUUAAGUGUAAGAGAGUGUGUGGCAGCUAGAGACACUGGGCUGCCUCAUAGUUGGGAUGCGUGUUUCUGGCAAGUUAUCUUGGGGCACUGCAGUGCCAGAUCUAGUGGGAUAAAAGACAGCCAUUUCUUAAAAUUUUACAACAACAGUUAUUUUCCUACAUAAGCUAUCCUUCAAUAGCCAUCAUUUUAAUGAUCUUUACUCUAGAAUUUGGAACUUUAUUCUUUGUCCCCGUUUAAAAAGAAAAUGGUACUCUGGUGGGAUGUUUAUAUUGAUAGCUGUGGCAAAACAAAGAAUAAAGAUGUGAUUCACGAG